rnacentral:rRNA from 1 species
GAUCCUGGCUCAGGAUGAACGCUAGCGGCAGGCCUAACACAUGCAAGUCGAACGGUAACAUAGAUUGCUUGCAAUCUGAUGACGAGUGGCGCACGGGUGCGUAACGCGUAUGCAAUCUACCUUUUACAGGAGAAUAGCCCAGAGAAAUUUGGAAUAAUGCUCCAUAAUAUCAUUUAUCAGCAUUGGUUUAUGAUUAAAGCUCCGGCGGUAAAAGAUGAGCAUGCGUUCUAUUAGCUAGUAGGUGAGGUAACGGCUCACCUAGGCUACGAUAGAUAGGGGCCCUGAGAGGGGGAUCCCCCACACUGGUACUGAGACACGGACCAGACUCCUACGGGAGGCAGCAGUGAGGAAUAUUGGACAAUGGAGGAAACUCUGAUCCAGCCAUGCCGCGUGCAGGAUGACUGCCCUAUGGGUUGUAAACUGCUUUUAUAUAGGAAGAAACACUCCCACGUGUGGGGGCUUGACGGUACUAUAUGAAUAAGGAUCGGCUAACUCCGUGCCAGCAGCCGCGGUAAUACGGAGGAUCCAAGCGUUAUCCGGAAUCAUUGGGUUUAAAGGGUCCGCAGGCGGCCUAUUAAGUCAGAGGUGAAAUCCUACAGCUCAACUGUAGAACUGCCUUUGAUACUGAUAGGCUUGAGUUAUUGUGAAGUGGUUAGAAUGUGUGGUGUAGCGGUGAAAUGCUUAGAUAUCACACAGAAUACCCAUUUGCGAAGGCAGAUCACUAACAAUAUACUGACGCUCAUGGACGAAAGCGUGGGGAGCGAACGGGAUUAGAUACCCCGGUAGUCCACGCCGUAAACGAUGGAUACUAACUGUUCGACCUUCGGGUUGAGUGGUCAAGCGAAAGUGAUAAGUAU